rnacentral:rRNA from 1 species
UAUCCAACCUGCCGUCUACUCUUGGACAGCCUUCUGAAAGGAAGAUUAAUACAAGAUGGCAUCAUGAGUCCGCAUGUUCACAUGAUUAAAGGUAUUCCGGUAGACGAUGGGGAUGCGUUCCAUUAGAUAGUAGGCGGGGUAACGGCCCACCUAGUCUUCGAUGGAUAGGGGUUCUGAGAGGAAGGUCCCCCACAUGGAACUGAGACACGGUCCAAACUCCUACGGGAGGCAGCAUG